UGGGGAAUAUUGGGCAAUGGGGGGAACCCUGACCCAGCAACGCCGCGUGAGGGAAGAAGGUUUUCGGAUUGUAAACCUCUGUUCUUGGAGAAGAGAAGAAGACGGUAUCCAAGGAGGAAGCCCCGGCUAACUACGUGCCAGCAGCCGCGGUAAUACGUAGGGGGCGAGCGUUGUCCGGAAUGAUUGGGCGUAAAGGGCGCGCAGGCGGCCAUUCAAGUCAGUAGUGGAAGUCCAUUUUUCAAGGGUGGAAGUGCUAUUGAAACUGUAUGGCUUGAGUGCGGGAGAGGUUAUCGGAAUUCCCGGUGUAGCGGUGAAAUGCGUAGAGAUCGGGAGGAACACCAGUGGCGAAGGCGGGUAACUGGACCGCAACUGACGCUGAGGCGCGAAAGUGUGGGGAGCAAACAG
rnacentral:rRNA from 1 species